rnacentral:rRNA from 1 species
GACGAACGCUGGCGGCGUGCCUAACACAUGCAAGUUGAGCGACGAACCAGGGCUUGCCCUGGGGCAGAGCAGCGAACGGGUGAGUAACACGUGGGUAACCUACCCCGAUAACCGGGACAACCCGAGGAAACUCGGGCUAAUACCGGAUGUGCUCACUGGACUUCGGGUCAGGGCGUGAAGGAAGCUUCGGCCUCCGUAUGGGGAGGGGCCCGCGGCCCAUUAGGUGGGUGGUGGGGUAACGGCUUACCUAGGCCGCAAUGGGUAGCCGGGCUGAGAGGACGUAGCGGCACACUGGGACUGAGACGCGACCCAGACUCCUACGGGAGGCAGCAGUGGGGAAGGGUGCGCACUGCGGGAAAGCGUGACGAAGAAGCGGAGCGUGGGUGAAGAAGGCCUUUGGGUGGUAAACCGGCUUUAGGGGUGUAGAAGGUUCGGCGGUGAAUAGCCGUCCGGACUGACGGUAGCUCCAAAAGAAGCCCCGGCUAACUACGUG